rnacentral:rRNA from 1 species
ACGCUGGCGGCAGGCCUAACACAUGCAAGUCGAGCGGUAGAGAGAAGCUUGCUUCUCUUGAGAGCGGCGGACGGGUGAGUAAUGCCUAGGAAUCUGCCUGGUAGUGGGGGAUAACGUUCGGAAACGGACGCUAAUACCGCAUACGUCCUACGGGAGAAAGCAGGGGACCUUCGGGCCUUGCGCUAUCAGAUGAGCCUAGGUCGGAUUAGCUAGUUGGUGGGGUAAUGGCUCACCAAGGCGACGAUCCGUAACUGGUCUGAGAGGAUGAUCAGUCACACUGGAACUGAGACACGGUCCAGACUCCUACGGGAGGCAGCAGUGGGGAAUAUUGGACAAUGGGCGAAAGCCUGAUCCAGCCAUGCCGCGUGUGUGAAGAAGGUCUUCGGAUUGUAAAGCACUUUAAGUUGGGAGGAAGGGUUGUAGAUUAAUACUCUGCAAUUUUGACGUUACCGACAGAAUAAGCACCGGCUAACUCUGUGCCAGCAGCCGCGGUAAUACAGAGGGUGCAAGCGUUAAUCGGAAUUACUGGGCGUAAAGCGCGCGUAGGUGGUUUGUUAAGUUGGAUGUGAAAUCCCCGGGCUCAACCUGGGAACUGCAUUCAAAACUGACUGACUAGAGUAUGGUAGAGGGUGGUGGAAUUUCCUGUGUAGCGGUGAAGUGCGUAGAUAUAGGAAGGAACACCAGUGGCGAAGGCGACCACCUGGACUAAUACUGACACUGAGGUGCGAAAGCGUGGGGAGCAAAC